GCUGGGCACGGGAUGCGUGCCUGUCAUCCCAGCAACUUGGGAGGCUGAGGCAGGAGGAUGUGAGUUCAAAGCCAGCCUCAGCAAAAGUGAGGCCCUGAGCAACUCAGUGAGACCCUGUCUCUA
rnacentral:sRNA from 1 species